rnacentral:rRNA from 1 species
AACGAACGCUGGCGGCAUGCCUAACACAUGCAAGUCGAACGAGACCUUCGGGUCUAGUGGCGCACGGGUGCGUAACGCGUGGGAACCUGCCCUUAGGUUCGGAAUAACUCCCCGAAAGGGGUGCUAAUACCGGAUAAUGUCUUCGGACCAAAGAUUUAUCGCCUUUGGAUGGGCCCGCGUUGGAUUAGCUAGUUGGCAGGGUAAAAGCCUACCAAGGCGACGAUCCAUAGCUGGUCUGAGAGGAUGAUCAGCCACACUGGGACUGAGACACGGCCCAGACUCCUACGGGAGGCAGCAGUGGGGAAUAUUGGACAAUGGGCGAAAGCCUGAUCCAGCAAUGCCGCGUGAGUGAUGAAGGCCUUAGGGUUGUAAAGCUCUUUUACCCGGGAGGAUAAUGACAGUACCGGGAGAAUAAGCUCCGGCUAACUCCGUG